rnacentral:rRNA from 1 species
AUUGAACGCUGGCGGCAUGCCUUACACAUGCAAGUCGAACGGUAACAGGUCUUCGGAUGCUGACGAGUGGCGAACGGGUGAGUAAUACAUCGGAACGUGCCUAGUAGUGGGGGAUAACUACUCGAAAGAGUGGCUAAUACCGCAUGAGAUCUACGGAUGAAAGCAGGGGAUCGCAAGACCUUGUGCUACUAGAGCGGCCGAUGGCAGAUUAGGUAGUUGGUGGGAUAAAAGCUUACCAAGCCGACGAUCUGUAGCUGGUCUGAGAGGACGAUCAGCCACACUGGGACUGCGACACGGCCCAGACUCCUACGGGAGGCAGCAGUGGGGAACUUUGGACAAUGGGCGCAAGCCUGAUCCAGCAAUGCCGCGUGCAGGAUGAAGGCCUUCGGGUUGUAAACUGCUUUUGUACGGAACGAAAAGCCCUGGGUUAAUACCCUGGGGUCAUGACGGUACCGUAAGAAUAAGCACCGGCUAACUACGUGCCAGCCGCCGCAGUAA